AAGGCCGCCACCAGAUCAAACAAAAUAUCUGCCUUGAAGUCGAUCGAACUCUCCUCGGGCACCGCACCAGCCACCAGGAAGCGAAGCGAGUGAGCUCUCUCGCGGCCCGGCAUGGCCAUGGUCGGAAUUGUCGCCUCCACCUCCUUCACGUACCACAAGCCACGAUUCGCGGUGGUGUGCAGGAAGAACAAGGACGGGCGGGAGCGGGAGCGGGAGCGGGACAGGGAGAAGGAGCACAAGCACCCCUUCAAGGUCGUCGAGAUCACGCCGCCGCCGCGCUGCCUCGGCGUCCGCUGCUUCCCCACCCAAUUGCAGCCACUGGCAGUACUCAGCACCCUGCUAAAUGGCAGCCCGCAGCAGCCGCGGCGCGCCGCAUCCCCCAUCGCCCCAUCCACCGCGACUCGCCGCAUCUCGCAUCCAUCCAUCCAGCCCACAUCGCCGCAUCUCGCAGACACGCACGGGAGGGCAACCGCGGCCGCAGCAGGACCCUCGCGACUUGUGUCCUACCUCCCCGAUCUGCAACUCCUUCCUUGCAGGUGCAAUAUGACUUGUAGUGAGGUUUUUGAUCUAAAUUCUGUGCCACUACAAGAGCAUGAUUUCCUUGCAUCCCCUUCAGAUCUUGAGUUGCAGCAAGUUUCUGGUGCAGCUUUCCCACCGAUGUGUGUUGCAGGUGGUGCAGGUGCACAUGUGUCCAGCAGCAACUUGACUCUCCCUGUAAUAUCCAAUGAAACCCUUCAUCUGCCAAGCAACUCAGCUCCUCCUGAACUGGCAACUCAGCAACUUAGCAACUCAGCAUCAAAGGUGCUCCCGGCUGAAUCUGGUGGUGUGACAGUUCCCAUGGCUGAGACAACCGCAGAUGAAGUUGAUGUUGAGGAUGGUGUUGAGGUUUUAUCCACUCCGCAGGAACCUUUUGUAGGCAUGUCUUUUAAUAGUUCUAAUGCUGCCAAAGACUAUUACAAUUCCUAUGCCCGUCAUACAGGUUUCUCUAUAAGGAUCGACUCAUCCCGUGAGUCGAAGAAGGCCAAUGAAAAGACAAAGUAUAUCUAUGUUUGCCAGAAGGCUGGGGUCAACAAAAAAGAGAAGGUUGCUGAUGAUGGGCCAAUAACUAAGAAAAAGAUUGUGAGGCAAAGACGCAGGGAUUAUGUAGAUAGGACGCACUGCCCAGCUCGCAUGAUUGUGAGGAAGACAUCCCCUGGACACUGGGAGAUUGUGAACUUUGAAAGGGAGCACAACCAUGAGCGUUUAAGAAAAUUCUCGCUCACAAAAUACUUGAAGUCCCACAGAGACAUACCAGCUGAAGAGAAAGAGUUCAUCAAGUUGCUCCAUGGAUGCUGCAUCACGACAACUCGUGCUUACCAGAUAAUGGCUGAGUUGUAUGGAGGUAUUGAAAACUGUCCAUACACCGAAGGUGAUGCUAAAAAUUUGCGUGUCGAGUACCGCGCUGAAUAUAGAGGUAAAGAUGUGAAGGCGACGCUUGAGUACUUUUAAGAAUUAAAGAAGGAAGAUCCGGAAUUCUAUUAUAGUUACACUCUUGAUGAGUUUGACAGGGUUGAGAAUCUGUUUUGGGUGGAUGGUGCAGCAAGGAGAGCUUAUGAGCUGUAUAGUGAUUGUUUGUCCUUUGACACUACUUAUUUGACCAAUGCCUACAACAUGUCAUGUGCUCCUUUCAUAGGGAUUGACAGGAAUGGCAUAACAAUCCAGCUGGGUUGCGACUUUCUGAGGAAUGAGAAGACUGAGGGUUUUGUCUGGCUGUUUAUUGAAUUCAAGAAAGCAAUGGGCGGCAAGGAUCCUGCAAAUAUAAUAACUGAUCAAGAUAUUGCGAUGAAGGCUACUAUCGCAGAGGUAUUUGUCAGUUCAGUUCAUAGGAAUUGCCGUUGGCACAUUAUGGAAAAUGCUAGGAAUACAAUGGGUCCUUUCUUGGAUAGCAAGGGGGAUGGUAAGCAAGAGUUGGUGGAUGACUUCAAGGAUUGUAUUGACAAUAGCUUCACGCCAGCAGAGUUUGAGCAGAAGUGGCAGGCUUUUCUGGAUAAAUAUGAGCUCAACAAUGAUGAGAGGUUCCAACAUUUGUAUGACAUGAGACAUUGUUGGACCCCUGCGUAUUUCAUGCAUUGUUUCUUCCCCUUCCUCCAAACAAUAGCACGGAGUGAAGGCUUCAAUGCUGUCCUGAAGCGCUAUGUCAACCCAAAGAACUCGAUACUCAACUUUGUGCAGCAAUAUAAGAAGAUACAACAAAGGAUUUUCAGCAAGCAAGAUUUGCAAGAGGCGGCCACAGCCACGAAGGUCCCACACUACUUGACGGGGCACCCUAUGGAGCAUCAGAUGAAGAAAGCGUAUACAAGGAGGUUGUUCAAUGUGUUUCAACACGAGCUGCAGCUAAGUUCGAGCUACUAUGUUGUUCGUGUUGAAGGGGAUGACUUGAUAGAUGUUGUUCCAUACAGGCGUUGCCCCGAUCUGUUGUAUGGGACACGGACAUUCAGGGUCACGUCGUCCAGGGUGGAGGGCUUGUAUAGCUGCACUUGUUGCAAGUUUGAGAUAGAUGUAGUGCUUUGCUGCCACAUAUUGAAGGUUUUUGACGCCCUUGCAGUCCGCGAGGUGCCUAAUCGGUACAUUCUCCCUCGAUGGUCAGUUGAGCCAGUGGUUGAUAGUGGGGUGGAAGUUGCCGCAAACGAGCCUCUUCAAGAAGCCCAGAUUACAGACCAUGGGAAGCAUGUUAUACGUUACAGCAGAAUGUGCACAAACUUUAAUAAGAUUGUGAGACCUUUUAUGGCUGAUGACGAGGGAUAUGCCAUAGUAUCAAAACAAGUAAGCGCCCUACAAUCUAAGUUUGUUGCUUUGGGGAAAAGGAGAGCGUCAAGUGUUCUUCCGGGGCUGGAGUGUGAACAAGUUGAUAUUGAAUAACCCGCUGCGCCAAGGCCGCAGAACAAAUCGCGCAAAAAAAACAAGCUCAUCAACCGGAGGGGGUGGGGAUCCAAAUCUAUCACAACAGCCUAAUGGCUCGCAUGUUGCUGGUGCUAAGAUUGGGGACCCACCAAUAACAAAGAAGCAAGGGCGUCCAAGGUCAAAGAGAUACAAGACAGGGUUAUGGUUGCUUCCCCCAAAAAAACCACCGUGUGGAUAUUGUGGUUCAACAGAACAUACCACAUCGACUUGCCCCGCCAAGCCGGCAAGAAAGCAAACAAAAUAACUCUUGGAUAAAUCACUAAAUGAGGUUGCUGCUGCGUGAAAAAAUAAGAUGUCUUGCAGGGGGAUGCAUCUAACAUUUUUCCACUUCCUUGUAAUUUAUUAAACUGCAAUUAGUGAUUUAUGAUUUUAUUAAAGCAUUGUGUGUGGUGAUGUAAUAAUGAAUAGUUAAUGCUUUUGUAUAUUUCAGACUUGCUAUAUAUAUGGAUAAAUAUACUUUUAAUAAAA